AGAGUGAACGCUGGCGGCAGGCCUAACACAUGCAAGUCGAACGGCAGCACAGGAGAGCUUGCUCUCUGGGUGGCGAGUGGCGGACGGGUGAGGAAUACGUCGGAAUCUGCCUAUUUGUGGGGGAUAACGUAGGGAAACUUACGCUAAUACCGCAUACGACCUACGGGUGAAAGCGGAGGACCUUCGGGCUUCGCGCAGAUAGAUGAGCCGACGUCGGAUUAGCUAGUUGGCGGGGUAAAGGCCCACCAAGGCGACGAUCCGUAGCUGGUCUGAGAGGAUGAUCAGCCACACUGGAACUGAGACACGGUCCAGACUCCUACGGGAGCAGCAGUGGGAAUAUUGGACAAUGGGCGCAAGCCUGAUCCAGCCAUGCCGCGUGUGUGAAGAAGGCCUUCGGUUGUAAAGCACUUUUGUUGGGAAGAAAAGCCAUGGGUUAAUACCCGUGUGUUCUGACGGUACCAAAGAAUAAGCACGGCUAACGUUCGUGCCAG
rnacentral:rRNA from 1 species